rnacentral:rRNA from 1 species
UUGGGUUAAGUCCCGCAACCGAGACCGCAACCCGUUAUCCCCAGUUGCCAUCAGGUAAAGCUGGGAACUCUGGGGAGACUGCCGGUGAUAAACCGGAGGAAGGCGGGGAUGACGUCAAGUCCUCAUGGCCCUUACAUCCCGGGCUACACACGUGCUACAAUGGCAGGUACAGAGGGCUGCGAAGCCGCGAGGUGGAGCGAAUCCCAGAAAACCUGUCUCAGUCCGGAUUGAAGUCUGCAACUCGACUUCAUGAAGGCGGAAUCGCUAGUAACCGCGAAUCAGCAGGUCGCGGUGAAUACGUUCCCGGGCCUU